rnacentral:rRNA from 1 species
UACAGAGGUCUCAAGCGUUGUUCGGAUUCAUUGGGCGUAAAGGGUGCGAGUAGGCGGCGCGGUAAGUCGGGUGUGAAAGUCUCGGAGCUUAACUCCGAAACUGCAUUCGAUACUGCCGUGCUCGAGGACUGGAGAGGAGACUGGAAUUUACGGUGUAGCGGUGAAAUGCGUAGAUAAUCGUAAGGAAGACCAGUGGCGAAGGCGGGUCUCUGGACAGUUCCUGACGCUGAGGCACGAAGGUCAGGGGAGCAAACGGG